rnacentral:sRNA from 1 species
AAUAACCAAGUUAAAGCCAAAACGCUCCCUGUAACCAAUACCUUGGUAG